UUUUUCUUAUAUUCCUCUAAUUAUUUUCUCUAAUUGUAGAUAAUGAGCAUUUUAUUAAUAUCUUGUUCUUGAUCUUAGUGGGAGGUAUGUAGUUUUUCCCUGUUAAGUAAAAUCCUGACUUUUGGACCAAGAAGACUGAGGCAUAAAUGUGUGUGUGGUGUGUGUGUGUGUGUGUGUUUACACGCAAACUGUAUAUAUGUGCUUGUGUGUAAUUGAAAUACAUAUGUCACAUAUAUAUCAUGCGUACUGUUGCAUAUUAGGGUAUAAUAUUUGUAUUUGUGUAUAAUUGAAGUUAAUGAAUGUUAAUGAAUGUGAAUGAAUGUUAAUGAAUGUUAAUGUAGUCCCAGCUGCUCACUCGGGAGGCUGGGCAGGAGGAUGGCUUGAACCCACGAGUUUGACACUGCAAUGAGGUAUGACUGAGCCAUUGCACUCCAGCCUGGGCAAUAGAGGGAGACCCUGUCUCAAAAACCAAAACAAAAAAAAGAUUCUUUUAAUUUUUUUGUGCUCGUAAUGUGGAUAGCUUGACUAGGAAAGAAAACAAGUCCGCUUUGUCUUUAUUAGGAAGUAAAUGUGAAUUUGUUUGUUUUAGUUGCAAAGCCUCAUUCCUUUUGUUCAGCUGCCCCCUAGUGACUCCGUGUGUGAAGAGUAUGGUCUGAGCUGUUCGGAUGCUCUGCAUAAUCUUUUUUAGUCUCCAGACUUGUGAACGAGGUCUACCACAUGUAUAAUCGACAUCAGUAUCCAUUUGUUGUUCUUAACAUUUCUGUUGAUUCAGGUAAGUU